CCCGGCCUCUGUGGGAGGGUGGGGUGGAGCCGGACCUGCCCACCGGGUCCACCUGCCUCCCGUUCGGGAGAGUUCCUCCCAGGACCCCAGCAGGCCGGAGGGAGGAAGGUACAGGCCUCAGAGGUGGUGAAACCCUGACCGGAACCUCCCCCGGCCCGCCGGCCCCCACCCCUCCCUCGCGCAGGGUGGCACCCAGUGCUCUUUGCAUAAUCCUGUGGCUUCGCGAUCUUCACCCUGCGGCAGCGGCUCGGCAGAGGGGAAGGGCAGAACGGGCCACCAUGGCGACACACCUCUCCCAGUCCCAGCGGCGCCCUCCCCUCUUACGCCAGGCCAUCAAGAUAAGGCGCCGCAGGGUCAGAGAUCUGCAGGAUCCCCUGCCCCGAACGGCUCAGGAGAUCGAGCCUCCAUCCCACCACUUCUCCCCUGAAGAGCGGGCCCUACUGUACGAGGAAGCUCUCUACACCAUCCUGCACCGCCUGGGUCAGCCCGAGCCCAACCAUGUGAAGGAGGCCUCAGAGCUGCUUCGAUACCUGCAGGAGGCCUUCCACAUGGGGCCCGAGGAACACCAGCAGCUGCUGCAGAAGGUCCAGAAGCUUGAGAAGCCAAUAUUUUGUCUGAAGGCAACGGUGAAACAAGCCAAGGGCAUUCUGGGCAAAGACGUCAGUGGAUUCAGUGACCCCUACUGCCUGCUGGGCAUUGAGCAGGGGGUAGGCGCUCCGGGAGGCAGCCCUGGGUCCCGGCAUCGGCAGAAGGCUGUGGUGAGGCACACCAUCCCGGAGGAGCAGACCCACCGCACCCAGGUCAUCACCCAGACCCUCAACCCUGUCUGGGAGGAGACGUUCAUCCUGGAGUUUGAGGACAUAAGCAACUCAAGCUUCCAUCUGGACAUGUGGGACCUGGAUACCGUGGAGUCUGUCAGACAGAAACUCGGGGAACUCACCGAUCUGCACGGGCUGCGGAGGAUCUUUAAGGAGGCCCGGAAGGACAAAGGCCAGGAUGAUUUUCUGGGGAACGUGGUUCUGAGGCUACAGGACCUACGCUGCCAAGAGGAUCAGUGGUACCCUCUGGAGCCCUGCACCGAGACCUACCCCGACCGCGGUCAGUGCCACCUCCAGUUCCAGCUCAUUCACAAGCGGAGAGCCACCGCGGCCAGCCGCUCCCAGCCCAGCUACACGGUGCACCUCCACCUGCUGCAGCAGCUCGUGUCCCACGAGGUCACCCAGCACCAGGCGGGCAGUACCUCCUGGGACGGGUCGCUGAGUCCCCAGGCUGCAACCAUCCUCUUUCUCCAUGCCACGCAGAAGGACCUGUCUGACUUCCACCAGUCCAUGGCGCAGUGGCUGGCCUAUAGUCGUCUCUACCAGAGCCUGGAGUUCCCGAGCAGCUGCCUCCUGCACCCCAUCACCAGCAUCGAGUACCAGUGGAUCCAGGGCCGGCUCAAGGCAGAACAGCGAGAAGAGCUGGCUGCCUCGUUCCGCAACCUGCUGGCCUACGGCCUCUCCCUCAUCAGGAGGUUCCGGUCUGUUUUCCCGCUCUCUGUCCCCGACUCCCCAGCCCGGCUGCAAUCUCUUCUCAGGGUCCUGGUACAGAUGUGCAAGAUGAAGGCCUUCAGGGAGCUGUGCCCCGACAGCGCCCCCCUGCCCCGCCUGGUGACCGAGGCGCUGCGGACCGGCACCGUCGAAUGGUUCCACCUGAAGCAGCAGCACCAUCAGCCCAUGGUGCAGGGCAUGCUGCAGGCAGGCAAGGCCUUGCUGAGCCUGGUGCAGGACAUCAUUGGCGACCUACACCAGUGCCAGCGCACGUGGAACAAGAUCUUCCAGAAUGCCCUCAAGGUCAACCUCUUCUCCAUGGCUUUCCCGGAGCUUCAGUGGCUGGUGGCCAAGCGGGUACAGGACCACACGGCGGCGGUGGCGGGCAGCCCCGUGUCCCCGGAGGUGGGCGAGAGUCUAUUCCAGCUCUAUGUCAGCCUCAAGGAGCUCUGCCAGCUGGGCCCAGUCCCCGCAGAGAGGGAUGGAGUCCUGGCCCUGGAUGGCUUUCACCGCUGGUUCCAGCCCGCCGUCCCCUCCUGGCUGCAGAAGACAUACAGUGUGGCCCUGGCGCGGGUGCAGCGCGCUGUGCAGAUGGAUGAGUUGGUGCCCCUGGGUGAACUGACCAAGCACAGCACAUCAGCCGUGGAUCUGUCCACCUGUUUCGCCCAGAUCAGCCAUACUGCCCGGCAGCUGGACUGGCCCGACCCAGAGGAGGCCUUCAUGAUCACCGUCAAGUUUGUGGAGGAUACCUGUCGGCUGGCCCUGGUGUACUGCAGCCUCAUAAAGGCCCGGGCCCGGGAGCUCUCCGCAGGCCAGAAGGACCAGGGCCAGGCGGCCAACAUGCUAUGCGUGGUGGUGAACGACAUGGAGCAGCUGCGGCUGGUGAUCGGCAAGCUGCCCACCCAGCUGGCAUGGGAGGCGCUGGAACAGCGGGUAGGGGCUGUGCUGGAGCAGGGGCAGCUGCAGAACACGCUGUAUGCCCAGCUGCAGGGCGCGCUGGCCGGGCUGGGCCACGAGAUCCGCACUGGCGUCCGCACCCUGGCCGAGCAGCUGGAGGUGGGCAUUGCCAAGCACAUCCAGAAGCUCGUGAGUGUCAAGGAGUCUGUCCUGCCUGAGGAUGCCAUUCUGCCCCUGAUGAAGUUUCUGGAAGUGAAGCUCUGCUACAUGAACACCAACUUGGUGCAGGAGAACUUCAACAGCCUUCUGACCCUGCUCUGGACCCACACGCUCACCGUCCUGGUGGAAGUGGCCGCCUCCCAGCGGAGCUGCCCCCUGGCCUCUAGCAGGCUGAAGACUGCACUUCAGAAUCUGGAGAUCUGCUUCUACGCAGAGGGCUGUGGCCUGCCACCUGAGGCCCUGCACACAGCCACCUUCCAGGCUCUGCAGAAAGACCUGGAGCUGCAGGCCGCUUCUAGCAGGGAGCUCAUCCAGAAGUACUUCUGCAGCCGGAUCCAGCAGCAGGCAGAAGCGGCUUCUGAGGAGCUAGGGGCGGUCACAGUCAAAGUCUCCUACCGCGCCUCUGAGCAGAAGCUGCGUGUGGAACUGCUCAGCGCCUCCAGCCUGCUGCCCCUGGACUCCAAUGCCCUAACAAUGCAGGCAAUAAAUGACCUGAUAAGGGGCAUGUGAUGCCAGCGAGGAGGAUGGUUCCAGAAGGCACAGAAGACUGUGUGCAGAAGAGGGCAUGGAGUGAGGAACAACCUGACCUGAAGCAACUGUCCAGGCCUGGAGUAGCGCCUGAAGCUAGAAGGCACCAGAUGAAGGCGAGAGGGUCCAGCCCAGGUCUUUGGCUCAGGCCAGGACACCUGGGGCCUUCCUUGUCUGGGCAUACGGAAGGUGUAGGGACAGAUUAUAAAAUCCUUGACAGCAAGUAAAAGCUAAGUACGGUUUGCUGAAUGAAUACAAGAAAUGAGGUCACAGAAAGAGCAAAGCCCACAAAACAAUAGCAACAGCUUUGGGAUGCUGCCAGCAGGCAAAGCAUUGAGAGCGGAAAGCCUGAUCCUAUGCCCUCGUGAAAAGUAUCACACUGCAGGAAACCCGUAACUCAGCAGAUAGGGCAGUUUCCUGCAGAAAAGCCCCUCGUGAGAAGGGGCUGAGUGACAAGAUUUAGUGCAGGCAGAGAGCCCACCUUCAACCAACUACAAUCAGAGGAGAGAAAUUUUUAACCUUUUGCUAAAGUCAUUAAUGGAACUGUACUACCUGCUACCUAAGAACUAAAACGUUUGGUCAGAACUUCCCACUCUCCCUCUCCCACUCUGACCCUGUGCUAACCGGCAAUGCAGUACUCAGAAAGCAAGGAGAAAACCACUUAGAGAUCACUUUUCUAUUUUCAUGGAUUAAAAUGAAACAAAUUUUCAGUGGAAAUGCAUAACUAUCGCUGUUAAGUACCAAUCCAUCUCAUCUUAAAGGUUUGAAAGUACAAAUCUAAGAAACGAAAUAUGUUGAAAUUUACUCUUUAAUUCAACCGGUUCUCAGGAAACCCAAGAAGUCCUGGGAUCUAACGGAGGAAGGCAGACACACCAACUACUCACUCCCCCCACUCCCAUCCAAGCUCUGAGGAGGGUACAAGGCCCCAAGACUCAAUUCUUCACACUCUCACCUCCCAGGAAGACCUCCACUCAAGGGUAAAAGCAGUAACAUAGAAUAGUUCCUAACUGCAAGGCCUCAACGAGCUGCUACUACGGCCAGAAUGAAUCCAGAAACCACACAGGCCUUGGGGAAGUAAGAGCUCUGAGACAAAGUCAUGCCUUCAACUGGUAGAAGGAUCAACAAAGCUUGGAGGGACACACAAAUGGUCAGAGCUUCACCUUUCCUAAACAGUGCCUUCCUAUGUGCCCAACUGGGAACUAAGCUUAAAUAAAAGCUAGCUUUCACUUC